CGCUAACACUCCUACGGGGAGGCAGCAGUAGGGAAUCUUCACAAUGGGCGCAAGCCUGAUGGAGCAACACCGCGUGAGUGAAGAAGGGUUUCGGCUCGUAAAGCUCUGUUGUUAAAGAAGAACACGUAUGAGAGUAACUGUUCAUACGUUGACGGUAUUUAACCAGAAAGUCACGGCUAACUACGUGCCAGCAGCCGCGGUAAUACGUAGGUGGCAAGCGUUAUCCGGAUUUAUUGGGCGUAAAGAGAGUGCAGGCGGUUUUCUAAGUCUGAUGUGAAAGCCUUCGGCUUAACCGGAGAAGUGCAUCGGAAACUGGAUAACUUGAGUGCAGAAGAGGGUAGUGGAACUCCAUGUGUAGCGGUGGAAUGCGUAGAUAUAUGGAAGAACACCAGUGGCGAAGGCGGCUACCUGGUCUGCAACUGACGCUGAGACUCGAAAGCAUGGGUAGCGAACAGGAUUAGAUACCCUGGUAG
rnacentral:rRNA from 1 species